AUGUACCGCUCGUACACUCCGGUUCUGAGCGCGCCGCCCGCAUCCACCUGACGACCGCUCGCUGCGUUGCGCAAACC
rnacentral:sRNA from 1 species